ensembl:lncRNA
GGACGCCACGCACCGGCCUUCCUAUGGGACCCUCUGGUUACCGGUAACUGGGCGUGUCUGACCACAUGCCACAGGCCCUUCGCUGUCUCCUCGUAGGAUUUGCUGUUUACCAUAAGGCGACCCCCCCCUAGUGGUGGAGGACUCUAUACAGCCGAAGGUGCUGAACAAUGGGGGCAAGUGCGCUUCACUCCGAGGGUGGAAGGCUCAAGGAACAAGCUGAUGCACUGGUGAACUCAGAACAAGACAUAAGCUCUGCACGCCUCUUGUUUGCACUGAGUUACACAGAAGCAUGAGAUGCUCAGAAUCCCGGUCCUAUCUGAUUUAGAUCUGUUUUCUGUUUCCAAUCAGUGAGCAGAAUGACUGAAGGGGAACACAUGCUGCGAAUAAAGCAAACAUUGUGCAUUUUUUUUCUCUUUUUUUCUUUUCUCCACUGCCAGGAUGCCAGCCUGUCACAUUCAAAUUUAAACUUUCAAGCUUUCUGAUGUUUUCCUAGAAAUGUGUUUUUCAACUAUUUAACUAUUUUUACUUGAUUUCCAAAUGUUUUUAGUAAUGCAGAACACAUGAAUUACUCAACCCGACACAAAUGUAUUUUUUUCGUCUUCUUUUCUUGUCCUUUUUUUUUUGUUUGUUAAUUUCCUGAAGUUCUUGAAAAUGUUUCCACAUGACACAUAUUUCCCAGCAGUCCCAGUGGUGGCAGCAGGUGCAAACACCAUCUUUCUCAAUAAAAGGUCCUAAUAUUUCUUCUUUAACAUCAAGUGAUCACCUAGUGAGUCGAAAUCCUAGAUAAUGUGACAAAGGUUGUUAGCCAUACAGUAGCACAGAGGUUUCUUCCUGUAAAAAGGGAGUUUUUCCUUCCCACUGUCGCCAAAGCGCUAAAUCAUAAGGGAUCAUAUGAUCGAUGGGUUUUUCUCUGUAUGUAUUAUUGUAAGAUCUACCUUACAAUAUAAAGCGCCUUGAGGCGACUCUUUGAAUUGAUUUAGUACAGUUAGAUCUACACAUAAAAAACAGGUACUAUAUUUAGCAAAUCACUUAAUUUGAAAUGUUUUGUAGAGUUCUGUGGGUACUGUGGUAUCUUUGGUACUGAAUAUUGAAUAAUCCUGCUCUUUUACAGUUCCAGUCUCAAAGAUCAUUAUGGGAAGAGAUGAACAACUAUUACUUAGGACUAACAGCUUCUACUAAAACAACAAAUUGGUAGAGACUUAAUGAAUAUGUUAG